rnacentral:rRNA from 1 species
AGUUUGAUCCUGGCUCAGAUUGAACGCUGGCGGCAGGCCUAACACAUGCAAGUCGAGCGGUAGAGAGAAGCUUGCUUCUCUUGAGAGCGGCGGACGGGUGAGUAAUGCCUAGGAAUCUGCCUGGUAGUGGGGGAUAACGUUCGGAAACGGACGCUAAUACCGCAUACGUCCUACGGGAGAAAGCAGGGGACUUUCGGCCUUGCGCUAUCAGAUGAGCCUAGGUCGGAUUAGCUAGUUGGUGAGGUAAUGGCUCACCAAGGCGACGAUCCGUAACUGGUCUGAGAGGAUGAUCAGUCACACUGGAACUGAGACACGGUCCAGACUCCUACGGGAGGCAGCAGUGGGGAAUAUUGGACAAUGGGGCGAAAGCCUGAUCCAGCCAUGCCGGGUGUGUGAAGAAGGUCUUCGGAUUGUAAAGCACUUUAAGUUGGGAGGAAGGGUUGUAGAUUAAUACUCUGCAAUUUUGACGUUACCGACAGAAUAAGCACCGGCUAACUCUGUGCCAGCAGCCGCGGUAAUACAGAGGGUGCAAGCGUUAAUCGGAAUUACUGGGCGUAAAGCGCGCGUAGGUGGUUUGUUAAGUUGGAUGUGAAAUCCCCGGGCUCAACCUGGGAACUGCAUUCAAAACUGACUGACUAGAGUAUGGUAGAGGGUGGUGGAAUUUCCUGUGUAGCGGUGAAAUGCGUAGAUAUAGGAAGGAACACCAGUGGCGAAGGCGACCACCUGGACUAAUACUGACACUGAGGUGCGAAAGCGUGGGGAGCAAACAGGAUUAGAUACCCUGGUAGUCCACGCCGUAAACGAUGUCAACUAGCCGUUGGAAGCCUUGAGCUUUUAGUGGCGCAGCUAACGCAUUAAGUUGACYKCCUGGGGAGUACGGCCGCAAGGUUAAAACUCAAAUGAAUUGACGGGGGCCCGCACAAGCGGUGGAGCAUGUGGUUUAAUUCGAAGCAACGCGAAGAACCUUACCAGGCCUUGACAUCCAAUGAACUUUCUAGAGAUAGAUUGGUGCCUUCGGGAACAUUGAGACAGGUGCUGCAUGGCUGUUGUCAGCUCGUGUCGUGAGAUGUUGGGUUAAGUCCCGUAACGAGCGCAACCCUUGUCCUUAGUUACAAGCACGUAAUGGUGGGCACUCUAAGGAGACUGCCGGUGACAAACCGGAGGAAGGUGGGGAUGACGUCAAGUCAUCAUGGCCCUUACGGCCUGGGCUACACUUUUUUUUUUAGGGUCGGCUUAGGGGGUUGGCCGGCCGCCAACCCCUCUCUUCCCAUAAAACCGAUCGUAGUCCGGAUCGCAGUCUGCAACUUGACUGCGUGAAGUCGGAAUCGGUAGUAAUCGC